CCCCUAAACGAGCGUAUAACAUCCCUUCUGCUCUAACACUAGAAACAGAAGUCAGCUGAGCGCACAACAAAGAACAUUAUGAGCUGUCUGCUCAAAUUUGCGCCGCUGUUUUUGGCGGUCGCCGUUUGCCAUGGGUGGCUGUUCGGCGACUUUGGUGGACAACCGAAUGAGCUGGAUGAAAUCUCUCUCUGGCCGCUACCGCAGAAAUUUCAGUCGUCUGCGGCCUCUUUUAAACUCAGCCCUUUCAGCUUUCAGAUCGUCCACGCUAAAGAGUCCACCGCCGGACCGAGCUGCAGUCUACUCCAGAAUGCAUUUCGCAGGUAUUUUGAGUACAUGUUUGGCGACGUAAAGAAGCAAGAGAAAAGCCACAAGAAAGCUUUCAUUUCAGAUAUUGUAGAGCUUCAAGUGCAGAUCACAUCACCUGAUCCAGAGUGCGACGGCUUCCCGAGCAUAAAAACCGACGAGUCAUAUGAACUGACAGUUGGUCAACCUUCUGCUUUACUGAAAGCUCCUAAUGUAUGGGGAGCUUUGCGAGGACUGGAAACAUUCAGUCAGCUGCUCUAUGAGGAUCACUAUGGAGUCAGCAACAUCAAUAAGACCGUCAUCUUGGAUUUCCCACGGUUUGCCCACCGAGGAGUCCUCCUGGACUCAUCUCGCCACUACCUGCCACUCAAAGUCAUUUUGGCCAAUUUGGAAGCUAUGGCGAUGAACAAGUUUAACGUAUUCCACUGGCACAUUGUGGAUGAUCCGUCUUUUCCCUAUAUCAGCCGUACCUUCCCCGAGUUAAGUCAGAAGGGAGCCUACCACCCAUUCACACACGUGUACUCUCCGUCUGAUGUGAAGAUGGUCAUUGAGUUUGCUCGCAUGAGGGGGAUCCGGGUCAUCCCCGAGUUUGACACCCCAGGACACACACAGUCAUGGGGCAAUGGCCAAAAGGAUCUGCUAACUCCCUGUUAUUCUGGCUCUACCCCAUCUGGAACAUUUGGGCCUGUGAACCCCAUCUUGAACUCCACUUAUGAGUUCAUGGCCCAGUUCUUCAAAGAGAUCAGCACCAUCUUUCCUGAUGCCUACAUUCAUCUGGGGGGAGAUGAGGUCGACUUCACUUGCUGGAAGUCCAAUCCUGAUAUUCAGAAGUUUAUGGAGCAGCAGGGCUUUGGGACAGACUACAGCAAACUGGAGUCUUUCUACAUUCAGAGGUUACUUGACAUUGUGACUGCUACCAAGAAAGGCUACAUGGUGUGGCAAGAAGUAUUUGACAAUGGGGUGAAGCUGAAAGCCGACACACAGAUCCAUGUGUGGAAAGCAAGGCCACAGUACCAGGAUGAGAUGGCACGGGUAACUGCAGCCGGUUUCAGUGUUCUGCUCUCCGCACCCUGGUACCUCAACCGAAUCAGCUAUGGCCAAGACUGGGUGGACAUUUACAAAGCCGACCCCCAGAACUUUACCGGCACAGAUUCGCAGAAGCAGCUAGUGAUUGGUGGAGAGGCUUGUCUCUGGGGAGAGUAUGUGGAUGCCACCAAUCUCACUCCCAGACUCUGUGCAGGCCCAGAGCCAGUGCUGUUGCUGAGAGGUUAUGGAGUGAUGCAAGUGUGACAGACCUCGGGAAUGCCUACAACCGCCUGGCUCAGCAUCGUUGCCGCAUGGUCAAGAGAGGCAUCGCUGCAGAGCCUCUAUUUACUGGCCACUGUCGUCAUGAGUACAAGGGCUGAUAAACUUCAGGAUUUUCACAAUAGAAAAUAUAAGGCAAAAACAGGAAACAUGUUUUAAAAGUGCAGAUAAAUCUUAACCAUAUUGGUAAUCAUGGUUUGCUAUUGUUGCACUGAGCCAGUUAUCCAGGACUUGAAUUUUUAUUUUGAAAACAAAGUUAAAUUUGGAUUUCCAAUGUAAGGUUAAGUUUUAAUAUAAGACAAAUGUAUCAAAUACUCUUAAUAAAUGUUAAAUUUGGAAUUUAAA